rnacentral:rRNA from 1 species
UACCGCAUAACGUCGCACGACCCAAGAGGGGGACAUUUUGGCCCCUCGCCCCCUCAUGUGCCCCCAUAGGAUAUUCUAUUAGGUGGGGUAACGGCUCUCCUAUGCGACAAUCCCUAUCUGGGCUGAGAGGAUGACCCCCCCCACUGGAACUGAGACACGGUCCCCACUCCUACGGGAGGCGGCAGUGGGGAAUAUUGCGCAAUGGGCGCAAGCCUGAUGCACCCAUGCCGCGUGUAUGAAAAAAGCCUUCUGGUUGUAAAGUACUUUUUCCGGGGAGGAAAGCGAUAAGGGUAAUAACCUUGUCGAUUGACGUUACCCGCACAAAAAACACCGGCUAACUCCCUGCCACCACCCGCGGUAAUACGGAGGGGGCAAGCGUUAAUCUCAAUUACUCGGCGUAAAGCGCACGCACGCGGUCUGUCAAGUCGGAUGUGAAAUCCCCGGGCUCUACCUCGGAACUGCGUUCUAAACUGUGAGGCUGGAGUCUUGUAUAGAGGGGGAGAAUUCCCCGUGUAGCGGUGAGAUGUGUAUAGAUCUGGAGGAAUAUCGGUGGCGAAAGCGGCCCCCCUGUACAAAGACUGACGCUCUCGUGCGAAAGCGUGGGGGAG